rnacentral:tRNA from 1 species
UACAGCUCAGUGGUAGAGCAUCUGCUUUGCAUGCAGAAGGUUCAGGUUCAAACCCUGGGUAG